GUUAUUUCGGCAGCUCGUAUACUAAAAUUGGAAUGGUAAAAGGAAGAUCAGCAGGGCCCCUGCCGAAGGAUGACAUGCAAAUUUGUGAAGUGUAAACUUUUACA